rnacentral:lncRNA from 1 species
GUAGUGUGCUUUUAGAACCUGCCAGAGGAGCUCCAGCAUUGGGACCAUGUGCCCCAUUCAUCGUAAUCAGGGUCCUAUAUCCACUGAGUUUUCCAUCUCAGGACAGCUGAUGAGGCAAGAAAUGUGUUGUUGCUAGUUCCCAAGCUGCUGGGGCUGUUGGGAAGCAGUAUCACAAAACCUUCUAUGCAAACUACGCAUCUUUUGCUUAGUGCUGGGCCAAGUGGACCUUGGCUAACGGUAUUCCAUAGCUGUCAGAAAGGCUUUCUGGUUUUCUCCCAGCUCCACCAGGAUACAUCUCUGACCCCCUCUUCUGGACCCUCCCGUGGACUUGGAGGAAUGAGGCCCAGAAGCUCCUCAGCAGAUAGGUAGCUG